UACGGGGGGGGCAAGCGUUGUUCGGAAUUACUGGGCGUAAAGGGCUCGUAGGCGGCCAACUAAGUCAGACGUGAAAUCCCUCGGCUUAACCGGGGAACUGCAUCUGAUACUGGAUGGCUUGAGUUCGGGAGAGGGAUGCGGAAUUCCAGGUGUAGCGGUGAAAUGCGUAGAUAUCUGGAGGAACACCGGUGGCGAAGGCGGCAUCCUGGACCGACACUGACGCUGAGGCGCGACAGCGUGGGGAGCAAACAGG
rnacentral:rRNA from 1 species